GAAGGCAAACUUGGAGAUGGAGAUUUCAAAGGUGUAAUCCAAAGCCUUUAUUUAACACAACUCAAUAUGUCAUGACUACUAUGCGUUUACAUUGCUGCUUCGUGAUCGGAUUGUGUCCUUGUUUUUCUAACACGUCUUAUUUGAGAAUGCAUUUAAGGUGUUUGAUAAAAAUACUGAUUUACAAUUUCUCUUUAGUGGAAUAUAAUGUCUACUUUUUGGUAAAUAAUGAAGUAUCUAUAGAUUCUACCGCAACAGGAAAAUCAGCACAAGUUAGUGAACUAACAAUUUGCUUAAAUAUCUUAGUUGAAAGGAAGAUUGAGUUAUUAUCAUGUACAACAGAGAACAUGUAAGUGAUCCUGGUGCUGAAUGUUCUGAUGUUAUUAUCAUUCUUGGAUGGUGUUGGAUUCACUUUCAGAUAAACAGCCCUGAGGAUAGGUCAAUGCUUCACGUGGCCCUUCGUGCUGCAAGGGAUGCUAACUGAUGCAAAAAAUGUCGUCCCUGAUGUUUGGUCAGUUCUUGAAGGACAUUAUUGUUGCAGUUGGUAUUGGUGGCAGUUUCUUAGUCCACUGUUUGUACACACUGCACUUCAAACAGAUAAAAAUACAUGCGCUUGCUCACGCACAUCAUGCGGUAUUUGGAGGAAUCACUGUCCUUAGUUGACGAUGAGUAAUUGUGUUGAAAAUGCUUUUAUGUCACCUUGUAGAUCCUGAAGCUAUUGAAUCUGCAUGGGGUUGUGUAGUAUCUAAUGUCAGUGAUGUUUCCAAAGUGUGAUUUCAAGCCUUGCAAAUGUUGAUCCUAUUGACGUUGUUAGGAAUAUCACUGGAUGAAACAGCUCUCGUUGUGAUUGCUUCAAAGACUUUUACAACAGCUGAAACCGUGCUGAAUGCUCGAACUCUUAGAGAAUGGGUUUCAUCUGCCCGAAUAAGUGUAAUAUUAAUAGUAGCUUUUCAGUGUAGGCACUAGGCAUUUGUGGCGGGGUCUGCAGUUUUGUUCCUUUUUUACGCAGAAACUUGUAGAACCGAAUCUGGAACAUAUACUUGUAAUAUACAUCUCAUCCCACACGUUCUAAAUAUACUAACAGUUUGUUUAAAAGAUAGAAAGUGUACAAAAUUGACUUUGAUAAUGAAUUGAAGACUGUCUCAUGGUAUGGUUAUUUCCAGGCCCUCUGCAGUUGCAAAGCACAAUUCUCACGGUUAUUACCAUACUUUACUUUUGUGGCAUUAGCUGACUAAGUUAUCUAUGAUAUGCAUUUCUUUAUUUAUUCAUGAAUCAUGUUAUUGUCUGCUUUCAACUGGUCAUUCCUGUUUGCUCGAUACAUAUACAUGUCUUGCUUCGUAUAUCUUUUAAUGCGUACAUCAUUCGAAAUCACUCACAAGUCACAACUCACUUGCGCCAAUCCUUAUUUUUUAUAUUUUAAGAUUACAACGGGGUGGAGUUCUGAGUUAAUAUUUAACUGGUGCUAUUCUCACACUAUAAAGGCCAUGAAACUUGCAUUUAUCUAUCUAUGAUUAUGGCUGAACCUUACCAUUUCCCCUUUCUUUAAUUUCUGAAACAGCUUGAGCAAAAUUUUGGUAUUGAUCCUAACAAUGCUUUUGCAUUUUGGGACUGGGUUAGUGGUUGGUAUAGUGGUGAGUAAUGUUUCCUCUAUAUCCUCUACCACUCUCAUAUCCUUAAUGUACAUUUGAAGGUUUCAACAAAUUUGAUUACAUGACCUGAAAUGCGGCUUGCAGUUUGCAGUGCUGUUGGCGUGUUAUCGUUAACUACUUAUCUCUACAAUAUGGCUUUUCAGUUAUCGAGAAGUAUGUGUUUUGCUAUUGAUAUCAUCCUAAUAUGCAUUGCCACUUCUUUUUCGUAGAAAUUAUUUUAAUCUACUUUGGUUUGAGUUUAAUCACUCUAUUAUUAACAAUUUUUGUCUAUUACACCCUAGAGUAAGAUUAAGGGGGUUGGACAAACUUCAUCAUGCAUCACCUUCUUCAUCCUUUAAAAUUAUAUUAUUUAUCAAUUUUUAAAUUUAAUUUACUAUCCCUAUAUUAUGUUUUAAGUUUGUUUUCUCCUUUUGAAGUCUUACUUGACAGAACUUUCAGCAUCAAAGACCUGGGACAAUUGAAAUAUUUUCUUAGAUUUGAGAUAGCAAGGUCCAAGCGCGGGAUCACUCUCUAUCAGAGGAAAUAUGUGAUUGAUUUACUUCAUGGCACAGGUCUUCUAGCAGCCAAACCAUGCUCAACUCCCAUGGACUCAACAAUUAAGCUACACAAGAAUUCUGGGAAUUUACUCCUUGAUCCAACUAGCUACAGAACUUUAUUAGGAAGGCUGAUAUAUUUGACUAAUUCAAGACCUGAUAUCUCCUAUGCAGUGAAUAGAAUUAGUAAGCAUCUUUCAUCACUCACAAUUGAUCAUCAACAUGCUGCAUUUCGGGUACUGAGAUAUCUAAAGGAAAGCCCAAGUAAGGGUCUAUUUUUCUCGGCUGAAAACUCAGAGAAACUGUCAGGUUUUGCAGACUCAGACUGGGGAGCAUGUAUGGAUACUAGGAGGUCAGUAGCUGGCUUCUUUUUCUUUCUUGGCUCAUCAAUCAUAUCUUGGGAAAGCAAGAAGCAAUCAGUGGUGUCCAGAUCCUUUUCAAAAGCAGAAUAUCGGGCAUUAGCACAAGCAACCUGUGAAGGACAAUGGCCCGUUUUUUUGCUUAAAGAUCUCAACAUCCAUGAUUCUGCGCCUGUUAAUCUCUAUUGUGAAAAUCAAUCAGCUCUUCAUAUAGCUACCAUCCAGUCUUCCAUGAACGGACGAAACACAUAGAGAUUGAUUGUCACUUGGUUCGUGACAAAGUCCAAGAGGGAACGCUUCACCUGCUUCCGGUCAAGUCUGCUUCACAAGCUGCAGAUAUCUUGACUAAGCCAUUAGCUCCUGGCCCUUUCAAACACAAUUUGUCCAAGCUUGGACUGUUGGAUAUCGACAUUCCAGCUUGAGGGGGAUGUCAAAAUUAGAUACACCACCUUUACUUCUAGGAAAAUUAAUAAAACUUUUUGCAAAUUUAUUGAUAUAUAGUAACCAUUUUUCUUAA